CACAUUAACAAGAUCUUCCCGAUCAGCAUCACAGAUGUCCUGACAAUGCCUCUAUGUCCUCCUAGAGCUCCCUGAGGACCUGGUGGAGGAGCUAUCCAUUUCAUCAUCGGAGGAAGAGGCUUUGCCCAACUCCGUGGCAUGUGAGGCAGUCAACAAACAUGAUACCCAGGAGGACCAUUGAGGAACUGCGCCAAGCCUGGGC
ensembl:lncRNA